GUGAACGCUGGCGGUAGGCCUAACCCAUGCCAGUCGAACGGCAGCACAGUAAGAGCUUGCUCUUACGGGUGGCGAGUGGCGGACGGGUGAGGAAUACAUCGGAAUCUACUUUUUCGUGGGGGAUAACGUAGGGAAACUUACGCUAAUACCGCAUACGACCUACGGGUGAAAGCAGGGGAUCUUCGGACCUUGCGCGAUUGAAUGAGCCGAUGUCGGAUUAGCUAGUUGGCGGGGUAAAGGCCCACCAAGGCGACGAUCCGUAGCUGGUCUGAGAGGAUGAUCAGCCACACUGGAACUGAGACACGGUCCAGACUCCUACGGGAGGCAGCAGUGGGGAAUAUUGGACAAUGGGCGCAAGCCUGAUCCAGCCAUACCGCGUGGGUGAAGAAGGCCUUCAGGUUGUAAAGCCCUUUUGUUGGGAAAGAAAAGCAGCAGGUUAAUACCCCGCUGUUCUGACGGUACCCAAAGAAUAAGCACCGGCUAACUUCGUG
rnacentral:rRNA from 1 species